rfam:Drosophila ananassae strain TSC#14024-0371.13 Ctg01_18771, whole genome shotgun sequence.
GUUUCGGGAAGUGGCCACUACCUCGCAGUCACGUGAUGCCAAAAUGCAACUGACACUGAUCCGGAGAUGGUCCUCCAUCCUUGGGAUUAGUGUUAAUUUGUGUUUUUUUUAUUUGAAUAGUUCAUGUGAUGUGACGUAGUGGAACAUUCCUGGCG